GGCAGCAGUGGGGAAUAUUGCACAAUGGGGGAAACCCUGAUGCAGCCAUGCCGCGUGUGUGAAGAAGGCCUUCGGGUUGUAAAGCACUUUCAGCGGGGAAGAAGGCACUAGUGUAAAUAGCACUAUUGAUUGACGUUACCCGCAGAAGAAGCACCGGGCUAACUCCGUGCCAGCAGCCGCGGUAAUACGGAGGGUGCAAGCGUUAAUCGGAAUUACUGGGCGUAAAGCGUACGUAGGCGGUUUGUUAAGUUAGAUGUGAAAUCCCCGGGCUUAACCUGGGAACUGCAUUUAAAACUGGCAAGCUAGAGUCUCGUAGAGGGGGGUAGAAUUCCAGGUGUAGCGGUGAAAUGCGUAGAUAUCUGGAGGAAUACCAGUGGCGAAGGCGGCCCCCUGGACGAAGACUGACGCUGAGGUACGAAAGCGUGGGGAGCAAACAGGAUUAGAUACCCCGGUAGUCCACGCCGUAAACGAUGUCGAUUUGAAGGUUGUAGCCUUGGGCUGUGGCUUUCGGAGCUAACGUGUUAAAUCGACCGCCUGGGGAGUACGACCGCAAGGUUAAAACUCAAAUGAAUUGACGGGGGCCCGCACAAGCGGUGGAGCAUGUGGUUUAAUUCGAUGCAACGCGAAAAACCUUACCUACUCUUGACAUCUAGAGAAUUUGGCAGAGAUGCCGAAGUGCCUUCGGGAACUCUAAGACAGGUGCUGCAUGGCUGUCGUCAGCUCGUGUUGUGAAAUGUUGGGUUAAGUCCCGCAACGAGCGCAACCCUUAUCCUUUGUUGCCAGCGACUAGGUCGGGAACUCAAAGGAGACUGCCGGUGAUAAACCGGAGGAAGGUGGGGAUGACGUCAAGUCAUCAUGGCCCUUACGAGUAGGGCUACACACGUGCUACAAUGGCGUAUACAAAGAGAAGCGAACUUGUAAGAGUCAGCGGACCUCAUAAAGUGCGUCGUAGUCCGGAUUGGAGUCUGCAACUCGACUCCAUGAAGUCGGAAUCGCUAGUAAUCGUGGAUCAGAAUGUCACGGUGAAUACGUUCCCGGGCCUUGUACACACCGCCCGUCACACCAUGGGAGUGGGUUGCAAAAGAAGCAGGUAGCUUAACCUUUGGAGGGCGCUUUAC
rnacentral:rRNA from 1 species